UAGUCCAUGCCGUAAACGAUGAAUACUAGGUGUUGGCCCGUAAAGGGUCGGUGCCGCAGCUAACGCAUUAAGUAUUCCACCUGGGGAGUACGAUCGCAAGAUUGAAACUCAAAGGAAUUGACGGGGGCCCGCACAAGCGGUGGAGCAUGUGGCUUAAUUCGAUGCAACGCGAAGAACCUUACCUGGGCUCGAACACUACCGGACAGCCUCCGAAAAGAGGUUUUCUUCGGACUGGUAGUGAGGUGCUGCAUGGCUGUCGUCAGUUCGUGUCGUGAGAUGUUGGGUUAAGUCCCGCAACGAACGCAACCCCUAUUGCUAGUUACCAGCGGAUAAUGCCGGGGACUCUAGUGAGACUGCCUGCGCAAGCAGUGAGGAAGGUGGGGAUGACGUCAAGUCAUCAUGGGCCCUUACGCCCAGGGGCU
rnacentral:rRNA from 1 species